rnacentral:rRNA from 1 species
AUUGAACGCUGGCGGCAUGCCUUACACAUGCAAGUCGAACGGCAGCACGGGAGCAAUCCUGGUGGCGAGUGGCGAACGGGUGAGUAAUAUAUCGGAACGUGCCCGGUCGUGGGGGUAACGUAGCGAAAGCUACGCUAAUACCGCAUACGAUCUAUGGAUGAAAGCGGGGGAUCGCAAGACCUCGCGCGAUUGGAGCGGCCGAUAUCAGAUUAGGUAGUUGGUGAGGUAAAGGCCCACCAAGGCGACGAUCAGUAGCUGGUCUGAGAGGACGAUCAGCCACACUGGGACUGAGACACGGCCCAGACUCCUACGGGAGGCAGCAGUGGGAAUUUUGGACAAUGGCGCAAGCCUGAUCCAGCAAUGCCGCGUGCAGGAUGAAGGCCUC